UACGUAGGGAGCAAGCGUUGUCCGGAAUCAUUGGGCGUAAAGCGCGCGUAGGUGGCCCCAUAAGUCCGCUGUGAAAGUCAAAGGCUCAACCUUUGAAAGCCGGUGGAUACUGUGGGACUAGAGUACGGAAGAGGCGAGUGGAAUCCUGGUGUAGCGGUGGAAUGCGCAGAUAUCAGGAGGAACACCAAUAGCGAAGGCAGCUCGCUGGGACGUUGCUGACACUGAGGCGCGAAAGC
rnacentral:rRNA from 1 species